rnacentral:rRNA from 1 species
UGAGCAAUCUGCCCUUCUCAUCGGAAUAAGCGUUGGAAACGACGUCUAAUGCCGAAUACGACCUCCUUUCGCAUGAUCGGAGGUGGAAAGCUCCGGCGGAGAAGGAUGAGCUCGCGGCCUAUCAGCUAGUUGGUGUGGGUAAUGGCCCACCAAGGCGACGACGGGUAGCUGGUCUGAGAGGAUGGCCAGCCACAUUGGGACUGAGACACGGCCCAGAUCCGUACGGG